UUGCAAGAUCUAAGAAGAAAGAACACUUGAGAAAAAUUUUGAGAAGACAAUUGCUUUGGAAGGUAAAGACAAAUGACCCCAUGCGGUAAUUGGAGCACUUGGAGUUCUAGCCCCAAAUUGGAAUAGGACCAACAUUUGUGGACACUGGGAGAUCUAAAACUCCAAAGAAUUUCAGUAGUGAGCAAACCAUAAGAUGAUUUUCCAAGAGUAGCUCCUGUCUGUUGCUCACUCUGUCCAUCUUUUUCUUUUAGGUGUCCUGAGAGUCUCCGCCCAGACACCGUCAGACCCUGUUUGCUUCCUUGCAGGAAAGACUGCAUUGUCAGCCCUUACAGUGAGUGGAGCCCCUGCCCAUCAACAUGUCCAGGAGGCAGUAACUCCAAGAAGAAACAAUUCAGGAAACGGAUCAUCAUCCAGGUCCCAACUAACGGAGGACAGGACUGUCCCGAGGUUUUGGUCCAGGAAAGAGAGUGUGAAGCUCGUUCUGUUUGUCCUGGAUACAGAUGGAAAACCCACAAAUGGCGCAGAUGUCAACUGGUUCCGUGGUCGGUCCGGCAGGACAGUCCUGGUGCUCAAGAGACAUGUGGGCCGGGUCUGCAGUUUCGAG